rnacentral:ncRNA from 1 species
ACGGGAACAGCACGGCCGCAAAUCUGACUCGCCGCCUCGCGCGGCUUGGGAUUGCGGAAGUGC